CGGGCGAACGGGUGAGUAACACGUGGGUGACCUGCCCUCCACUCUGGGAUAAGCCUGGGAAACUGGGUCUAAUACCGGAUAUGACCUCAUGCCGCAUGGUGUGGGGUGGAAAGCUUUAUGUGGUGGGGGAUGGACCCGCGGCCUAUCAGCUUGUUGGUGGGGUAAUGGCCUACCAAGGCGACGACGGGUAGCCGGCCUGAGAGGGCGACCGGCCACACUGGGACUGAGACACGGCCCAG
rnacentral:rRNA from 1 species